rnacentral:piRNA from 1 species
UGGUAGUUUACAGGCCCACAUUCCC